AUUGAACGCUGGCGGCAUGCCUUACACAUGCAAGUCGAACGGCAGCACGGGGGCAACCCUGGUGGCGAGUGGCGAACGGGUGAGUAACACAUCGGGAACGUGUCCUGUUGUGGGGGAUAACCAGUCGAAAGACUGGCUAAUACCGCAUGAGCUGGAGACAGGAAAGCGGGGGACCUGAAAGGGCCUCGUGCGAUUGGAGCGGCCGAUGUCCGAUUAGCUAGUUGGNGGGGUAAAGGCCCACCAAGGCGACGAUCGGUAGCUGGUCUGAGAGGAUGAUCAGCCACACUGGGACUGAGACACGGCCCAGACUCCUACGGGAGGCAGCAGUGGGGAAUUUUGGACAAUGGGGGCAACCCUGAUCCAGCCAUGCCGCGUGAGUGAAGAAGGCCU
rnacentral:rRNA from 1 species